CUGCGAGUGAAGAGGGAAGAGCUCAUCAUUGGAAUCUGGCAGUGUUGCACUGUCCGAGUUGUAGAUGAGGAGUAGUCCGUCUGGACUGCAUGGCGUCCAAGUACAAUAGGCCGUCAGUGGGACAUCAUAGAGGGUGACAAUCCCGUCCUUGACGCCAAUGUGCAAGUCUAUUACGAUGGCUAUCUCAGAGAGUCGAGCAGUUUGGGAUUUGCUGCUUAAACAUGGGAGGUAGAUUCCUUCUAAAGCUAAAUACAGGCGAGAGACCGAUAGAGAACAAGUACCGCAAGGGAAAGAUGAAAUAGCACUCUGUGAAGGGAGUCAAAAGGCGUGAAAUUGUUGCGAGAGAAGCGAUUCAAGUCAGCGUAGCUAGGCCCAUCAAGCGUCUUCGCUUUGGACUAGCUUUGCCAGCGGUCUUGUCCCUUGAAGAGACUUGACUUGUAAUAUGUCCAGCCUGGCGUGCACAGGCAGCCCCUUCUGGGGGCCAGUGGCAUGGCUGGUGGAAUGGCUUGCAAUCGACCCGUCUUGAAACACGGACCAAGGAGUCUAACAUGUAUGCGAGUAUAAGGGUGGCAAACCCGUAUGCGCAAUGAAAGUGAUUUUCGGUGAUUGAGAAUGGCCUGAUGACCAGACAAGCAAUAUAUGUCCCUCGUACGGCCAUUGCCCAAGUUCCGUGGUAGAUCCCACGAACAUGGAGUUGGAGCAUACAUGCUAGGACCCGAAAGAUGGUGAACUAUGCCUGGACAAAGCGAAGCCAAAGGAAACUCUGGUGGAGGCUUGUAGCGAUUCUGACGUGCAAAUCGAUCGUCUGAUCUGGGUAUAGGGGCGAAAGACUAAUCGAACCAUCUCAUA
rnacentral:rRNA from 1 species